CAGAGUGUAGUUGAGAAUGAAGUUUGUAUGAAUAUUUAACAUAUUGUUUCAUUACUAGGACCUGUAGAACCCUUCUAUUGCCAAGUUAAACGUGUAUAGGCUGCAGUAUGAUGGGGUAUAGAAAUGCCAAUAAGAAGCACUCUUUGUACAGGGGACUUGGCUGUUUCUGAUAUGAUUUUAGAGCGUCAGAGAGCUCGGAGGGAGCGCAUGGCCUGUGAAGUCGCCAGUAACCAGCAC